GCCGAGGUAGCUCAGUGGUAGAGCACCUGUUUUGUAAACAGGGGGUCGAGGGUUCAAACCCCUCCCUCGGCU
rnacentral:tRNA from 1 species